rnacentral:rRNA from 1 species
UUGGGACGUUGGCUCCGCACUCUUAGCGCGCAGGCUAACUCUGUGCCAGCAGCCGCGGUAAUACAGAGGGUGCAAGCGUUAAUCGGAUUUACUGGGCGUAAAGCGCGCGUAGGCGGCUAAUUAAGUCAAAUGUGAAAUCCCCGAGCUUAACUUGGGAAUUGCAUUCGAUACUGGUUAGCUAGAAUGUGGGAGAGGAUGGUAGAAUUCCAGGUGUAGCGGUGAAAUGCGUAGAGAUCUGGAGGAAUACCGAUGGCGAAGGCAGCCAUCUGGCCUAACACUGACGCUGAGGUGCGAAAGCAUGGGGAGCAAACAGGAUUAGAUACCCUGGUAGUCCAUGCCGUAAACGAUGUCUACUAACCGUUGGGGCCUUUGAGGCUUUAGUGGCGCAGCUAACGCGAUAAGUAGACCGCCUGGGGAGUACGGUCGCAAGACUAAAACUCAAAUGAAUUGACGGGGGCCCGAACAAGCGGUGGAGCAUGUGGUUUAAUUCGAUGCAACGCGAAGAACCUUACC